UUCCUAUAAUUUUAUAGGUAACCCCUGCUAAUUGAAAAAUUAAAAAGCCGCUUAGCGCUAAGGUAGCGUAAUCAAAAGUUUGUUAAUUGCAAACCUGUAUGAAAGGGAAAUUAUCCUAAAGCUUUAAUAAAUUAAACAAUUGAAAUUAAAGGAAUAAGAAAAAAAUUCUUUUUUAGAAAGACAAGAAGACCCUAAAAGCUUCUUAAAAUUAAUUAUUUGGGGAAAAUAUUUAGAAAUUCUCUUAAAAAAAUAAAUCGGAAUAACCAAAAAAUAAGCUACUUUAGGGAAAACAGAACAAUCAAAAUUUAGAGACCUUAUUAAAAUUUUGGUUUGUCACCUCGAUGUUGGAUUCUUUAUUGGGCUGUCGCAGCAGAUAGCUCUAAUUAAACUGUUCGUUUAAUAAAAAAG
rnacentral:rRNA from 2 species